UACGGAGGGGGCUAGCGUUGUUCGGAAUUACUGGGCGUAAAGCGCACGUAGGCGGCUUUGUAAGUUAGAGGUGAAAGCCCGGGGCUCAACUCCGGAAUUGCCUUUAAGACUGCAUCGCUAGAAUUGUGGAGAGGUGAGUGGAAUUCCGAGUGUAGAGGUGAAAUUCGUAGAUAUUCGGAAGAACACCAGUGGCGAAGGCGACUGACUGGACAUGUAUUGACGCUGAGGUGCGAAAGCGUGGGGAGCAAACAGG
rnacentral:rRNA from 1 species